rnacentral:rRNA from 1 species
AUUGAACGCUGGCGGCAUGCCUUACACAUGCAAGUCGAACGGUAACAGGUCUUCGGAUGCUGACGAGUGGCGAACGGGUGAGUAAUACAUCGGAACGUGCCUAGUAGUGGGGGAUAACUACUCGAAAGAGUGGCUAAUACCGCAUGAGAUCUACGGAUGAAAGCAGGGGAUCGCAAGACCUUGUGCUACUAGAGCGGCCGAUGGCAGAUUAGGUAGUUGGUGGGAUAAAAGCUUACCAAGCCGACGAUCUGUAGCUGGUCUGAGAGGACGAUCAGCCACACGGGGACUGAGACACGGCCCAGACUCCUACGGGAGGCAACAGUGGGGAAUUUUGGACAAUGGGCGAAAGCCUGAUCCAGCAAUGCCGCGUGCAGGAUGAAGGCCUUCGGGUUGUAAACUGCUUUUGUACGGAGCGAAAAGCCCCGGGUUAAUACCCUGGGGUCAUGACGGUACCGUAAGAAUAAGCACCGGCUAACUACGUGCCAGCCGCCGCAGUAA